rnacentral:rRNA from 1 species
AGGAUGAACGCUAGCGGCAGGCUUAAUACAUGCAAGUCGAGGGGCAGCAGUCCCGCAGCAAUGCGGGAGCUGGCGACCGGCAAACGGGUGCGGAACACGUACACAACUUUCCUUUAAGUGGGGGAUAGCCCAGAGAAAUUUGGAUUAAUACCCCGUAAAAUUAUGAAAUGGCAUCAUUUUAUAAUUAAAGCUCCGGCGCUUGAAGAUGGGUGUGCGGCUGAUUAGGUAGUUGGCGGGGUAACGGCCCACCAAGCCUACGAUCAGUAACUGGUGUGAGAGCACGACCAGUCACACGGGCACUGAGACACGGGCCCGACUCCGUACGGGAGGCAGCCAGUAAGGAAUAUUGGUCAAUGGACGCAAAGUCUAGAACCAGCCAGUCGCCGCGUGAAGGGUGAAGGUCCUCUGGAUUAGUAAACUUCUUUUAGUAAGGGAAGAAAAUCGAAAAUUUCUUUUUACGGUUAGUACGGUACCUAAGGAAGUAAGCACCGGACUAACUCCGUGCCAG